rnacentral:misc_RNA from 1 species
UGCCACCUCAGCCUAGCCCAUCC